AGUAACUCAGUCUGGAUAGAGUGUUUGGCUUCGAACCAAAAAGUCGGGGGUUCAAGUCCCCUCU
rnacentral:tRNA from 1 species